rnacentral:lncRNA from 1 species
GAAUAAAGGUAAAUAUUUCUUACCGGAGAGACCUAGGCAUCUGAAAUGUAUUUUUACAGUCAGCAGUUCCUGGGAGUAGCUUAACGCUUCUCAUCUUCAAAACAUGCUUAGCACAGAACAUCAGAAUACUAACUAAAGUGCACUAGCGGAGGCAACUAGAUUUUAGAUGAAAACAACCCGCUUAACACUUCACAGAAAAAAAAUUAGCACUACUGUUGAGAGGCGCAUAACUGAAAGUAACCAGGAUAUCACUGGUGGCAAAUUGGGUUUACAUGCAAUGGUUGCUGAAAUUUAAAAACUGCAAGCAUUUAAUCUAGAGCAACCUAGCUUUCUGUAACAUUAUGAAGAGAGAGAUCACAGCUUAGUUGGAGUUUCAAGAGUGAACAUAAUAGAGGGCAAAAGUAGUGCACCAACCAUCUCACAAUUAUUAAACAGACUAUUUUAUAUCUGGGUUGUGUUGCACUCCUUGGUCACGCCUUCUUGUUGCAUGAAUCCAUAAACGCCGAGAUGAGGUAUUCCCAGAGGCAAGUAGGCAAGUACUUUGCCACAAACUUGGAUGCUGAUAAAUAUGUAAUGUGUGACAGAUAUCCAAACAUUCCAGAUCAGAGUUACACUUUCUUCAUCACAAAAAGGGGGAAACUCAUAUGACCCUCAGGAGUCAGGCUUGUUAUUUCAAUCAAACAUCAGGCAACAACAAUUUUCUGCAUUUUCCAAAAAGGAAGGUGGGGGGCAAUGCCAUUGUAUCAGCUAUGAGUGAAUACCAACUUGUUUUUCAGUAGGAAGUUCCAAGUAAUAAUGCAUCAAUUGUCAGUCCAACAUCUCAGGAGGCUGGUACUUUACCGGAAGCAAUUUUACAUGCUCCCUUAAUUUCCCUUUCCUUGAGAAGAGAGAUAGUAUUAACGAAACCGUCGAAGCUUCAACUGACAGCUGUUUUGCAUCAAGUUUAGCGAGAUAAGUUGCAGCCUUUACAACUGCACCAUUCUCCAGCAACACUCUGACCACGUGAUUUAGCAGUCUCGAGUCAGGAGCACAGCCAGCCUUCUCCAUUGCUAAAAACAUAUCAUCAGCCUCUGCCAGCAACCCUUCUUCUAUGAAAUUCGUCAUCAUUACACUGUAAGUCACAACAGAAGGCACCAAUCUGAUGGCUGAUAUAGUAGCAAACAAAUCCUUGGCUUCUUCAAUUCUCCUAGUUUUAAACAUUACAGAAAUCAUGGUAUUGAGUGUUAUGACAUCAAUCUUCACGUUCAUUGCACGUAGUUUCUUGAACAGCUCUAUUGCUUCACCAGUGCAAUUAUUUUUACAAAGUCCAUGAAGAACUAUGUUGUAUGUGUCAACGCCCACUGGUAUGCCACUUUCAGUCAUCGUACGGAAUUUUUCCUUUGCAGAAACUGCUCUCCCGGAGCGAAACAGCCCAUCAAAUAUAAUGUUGUACAUAAAAGUCGUGGGUUUAACUCCGCCUAUGUUGUCUCAACAUAGCCGGUCCCAAGCCCGGGUAAAGGAGGAGGGUUGUGAUAGGCUUAACUCAGCCACUCUUAUGGAGAUGAAACCCAAAAGAUUUUCGUUGGGGCGUAACCCUCUCAGCGACGCGCCACAUCGGAACCCGGGUGUGGUGGAAAAUGGGCAAGGGCCGGGCCGUCACCCCCCAAGUGGCGCGCCGUAUCUUGAUCCGGAUACGGUGGCAAGUGAGCGAGGAUCGGGUCGUCGCAUCCUUAGUGGCGCGCUACAUCGGCGCCCGGAUGUAGUGGAAAAUGAGCAAGGGUCUUCGCAUUUGACUCGACGAGUGCGAAGGGUAAGGAAGCUAGCCGAGCCUAGGAGGAUUCGCUUAGGUAGCUGGAACGUAGGGUCUCUGACAGGGAAGCUUCGGGAGCUAGUUGAUGCAGCAGUGAGGAGAGGUGUUGAUAUCCUUUGUGUCCAAGAAACCAAAUGGAGAGGACAGAAGGCGAAGGAGGUGGAGGAUACCGGCUUCAAGCUGUGGUACACGGGGACGGCUGCAAACAGAAAUGGCGUAGGCAUCUUGAUCAACAAGAGCCUCAAGUAUGGAGUGGUAGACGUCAGGAGACGUGGGGACCGGAUUAUCCUGGUCAAGCUGGUAGCUGAGGACUUGGUUCUCAAUGUUAUCAGCGCAUAUGCCCCGCAAGUAGGCCACAAUGAGAACACCAAGAGGGAGUUCUGGGAAGGCUUGGAAGACAUGGUUAGGAGUGUACCAAUUGGUGAGAAGCUCUUCAUAGAAGGAGACCUCAAUGGCCACGUGGGUACAUCUAACACAGGUUUUGAAGGGGCGCAUGGGGGCUUUGGCUAUGGCAUCAGGAAUCAAGAAGGAGAAGAUGUCUUAAGCUUUGCUCUAGCCUACAACAUGAUUGUAGCUAACACCCUCUUUAGAAAGAGAGAAUCACAUCUGGUGACUUUUAGUAGUGGCCAACACUCUAGCCAGAUUGAUUUCAUCCUCUCGAGAAGAGAAGAUAGGCGUGCGUGCCUAGACUGUAAGGUGAUACCUGGGGAGAGUGUUGUACCCCAGCAUAAGCUGGUGGUUGCUGACUUCCGCUUUCGGAUUCGUGUCCAGCGGGAUAAGCGUGCCAAGGUCGCUAGAACGAAGUGGUGGAAGCUCAAGGGGGAGGUAGCUCAGGUGUUCAAGGAGAGGGUAUUUAAGGAGGGCCCUUGGGAGGAAGGAGGGGAUGCGGACAAUGUGUGGAUGAAGAUGGCGACUUGCAUUCGUAAGGUGGCCUCGGAGGAGUUUGGAGUGUCCAGGGGAAGGAGAAGCGGAGAUAAGGAUACCUGGUGGUGGAAUGAUGAUGUCCAGAAGGCCUUAAAGAGAAGAAAGAUUGCUUCAGACGCCUAUACCUGGAUAGGAGUGCAGACAACAUAGAGAAGUACAAGAUGGCGAAGAAGGCCGCAAAGCGAGCUGUUGGUGAAGCAAGGGGUCGGGCAUAUGAGGACCUCUACCAACGGUUAGGCACGAAGGAAGGUGAAAGGGACAUCUAUAAGAUGGCUAAGAUCCGGGAGAGGAAGACGAGGGAUAUUGGCCAAGUCAAAUGCAUCAAGGACGGAGCAGGCCAACUCUUGGUGAAGGACGAAGAGAUUAAGCAUAGAUGGCAGGAGUACUUCGACAAGCUGUUCAAUGGGGAGAAUGAGAGUUCUACCAUUGAACUGAAUGACUCCUUUGAUGAGACCAGCAUGCGUUUUGUGCGGCGCAUCCAGGAGUCUGAGGUGAAGGAGGCUUUAAAAAGGAUGAAAGGAGGCAAGGCGAUGGGCCCUGAUUGUAUCCCCAUUGAGGUGUGGAAAGGUCUCGGGGACAUAGCGAUAGUAUGGCUAACCAAGCUUUUCAACCUCAUUUUUCGGGCAAACAAGAUGCCAGAAGAAUGGAGACGGAGUAUAUUAGUACCAAUCUUCAAGAACAAGGGGGAUGUUCAGAGUUGUACUAAUUACCGUGGAAUUAAGCUGAUGAGCCAUAUAAUGAAGCUAUGGGAGAGAGUCAUUGAGCACCGCUUAAGAAGAAUGACAAGCGUGACCAAAAAUCAGUUUGGUUUCAUGCCUGGGAGGUCGACCAUGGAAGCCAUUUUCUUGGUACGACAACUUAUGGAGAGAUAUAGGGAGCAUAAGAAGGACUUGCAUAUGGUGUUCAUUGACUUGGAGAAGGCCUAUGAUAAGAUACCGCGGAAUGUCAUGUGGUGGGCCUUGGAGAAACACAAAGUCCCAGCAAAGUACAUUACCCUCAUCAAGGACAUGUACAAUAAUGUUGUGACAAGUGUUCGAACAAGUGAUGUCGACACCGAUGACUUCCCGAUUAAGAUAGGACUGCAUCAGGGGUCAGCUUUGAGCCCUUAUCUUUUUGCAUUGGUGAUGGAUGAGGUCACAAGGGGUAUACAAGGAGAUAUCCCAUGGUGUAUGCUCUUUGCGGAUGAUGUGGUGCUAGUUGACGAUAGUCGGACGGGGGUAAAUAGGAAGUUAGAGUUAUGGAGACAAACCUUGGAAUCGAAAGGGUUUAGGCUUAGUAGAACUAAAACCGAGUACAUGAUGUGCGGUUUCAGUACUACUAGCUGUGAGGAGGAGGAGGCUAGCCUUGAUGGCCAGGUGGUACCUCGGAAGGACACCUUUCGGUAUUUGGGGUCAAUGUUGCAGGAGGAUGGGGGUAUUGAUGAAGAUGUGAACCAUCGAAUCAAAGCCGGAUGGAUGAAGUGGCGCCAAGCUUCUGGCAUUCUCUGUGACAAGAGAGUGCCACAAAAGGUAAAAGGCAAGUUCUACAGGACGGCGGUUCGACCCGCAAUGUUGUAUGGCGCGGAGUGUUGGCCGACUAAAAGGCGACAUGUUCAACAGUUAGGUGUGGCGGAGAUGCGUAUGUUGAGAUGGAUGUGUGGCCACACGAGGAAGGAUCGAGUCCGGAAUGAUGAUAUACGAGAUAGAGUUGGGGUAGCACCAAUUGAGGAGAAGCUUGUCCAACAUCGUUUGAGAUGGUUUGGGCAUAUUCAGCGCAGGCCUCCAGAAGCUCCAGUGCAUAGCGGACGGCUAAAGCGUGCGGAGAAUGUCAAGAGAGGGCGGGGUCGACCGAUUUUGACAUGGGAGGAGUCCGUUAAGAGAGACCUGAAGGAUUGGAGUAUCGACAAAGAGCUAGCUAUGGACAGGGGUGCGUGGAAGCUUGCUAUCCAUGUGCCAGAGCCAUGAGUUGGUUGCGAGAUCUUAUGGGUUUCACCUCUAGCCUACCCCAACUUGUUUGGGACUAAAGGCUUUGUUGUUGUUGUUGUUGUUGAUAAAAGUCGUGGGUUUAACCCCGCUGAGUGACAUUUCCCUGAAAAGACUCAAUCCAUCGGCGAUCCUGCCAAUUUUACAGUAGCCAUUAAGAAGUAUAGCAUACGUAACAGCAGUAGGUUGGAGGCCAGCAGACUUCAUAGCAUCAAGUACUCUUAGUGCUUCCUCCACCUUGCCAACAAGGCAAUAUCCAUCCAUCAGUGAAUUGUACAUAAUCACAUCAGGCCGCCGACCAAUACCUAGAAUGAAGUCAAACAUAUCCUGUGCCUCGUUUACCUUUCCUUCUUUGCAUAGGUCGUUUAUUACAGGAUAGAAGAACACACUGUUAGAAAACAGACCUCUAUUAAUUGCUUCAGAGAUCAAAUCCUUGGCUUUCACAAAAUGACCAUGAGAGCAAGAACCCAGAACCAGGCAUUGGUAAACAGCUUUGUUAGGUGAAACUCCUUGAUUGACCAUCUGAUUAAAUUUGUCCACAGCAGCAUCCAUCCUACCCAUUUUACAAAGUGAAUCCAUUAUUACUAGAUAGUCAACUACAUCUGGGUUUACUCCUUGUUGCCUCAUUACUUCGAACAUGUGCAUAGCCUCAUCCAUCAGUCCACGUUUAGCAUAUGCAUUGAUCAGUAUGUUGAAAAUAUGGUGGUUUGGUACAACACCAUUCCGUACCAUCGAAUUGAAGAGAUCAGUCAUAUCCUCGAAGGAUCCUUCUUUGACAUACCCAUUAAGCAUAGUAGAGUAGGAGACGAUAUUAGGUUUCAGGCCCUUUGCAGCCAUAGAGUCAAAAAUUUCUCUAGCUUCCUUUGUCCUUCUGUGCUUGCAAAGGGAAUCGAUUAAUGAGGUCAACGUGACAACGUCUGGUACAACACCAAGACUUGCCAUUUCUUUGAAUACCCUAAGUGCCUCCUUCCACUGACCAAAAGUAGAAUAUCCAUGGAUCAGACAGUUAUAUGUCUUGAUAUUGGGUUCAAUUCCUUGAUCAACCAUUUGCCGAAGGACCACUUCUGCCUUGUCCAUUGCUCCGGAUUUGCUUAGUGCGUCGAUAACUGAGUUGUAGAUCACCACAUUAGGUUGAACUCCCAGUUGGGGCAUCUGAUGGAAGAGAUUGCACGCUUUGUCUACUUCACCUUGUUUAAAACAGCCGUUGAUUACUAUGCUGUACGAGAAGACAUCAGGCACACAGUCCAGUUCGGGCAUCCGGUGGAGCAGCAUGUCCAAAGCCUCAUUUGAACGCUUGGCCUGGCAGAGCCCCUUGAGGAGAUUGCUGGAGGAGAUGAUAUCCAAGCGCAGCCCCAACCUGAGGAGGCGACCGAAGAAGGCAAGCACCAAGUCCGGGCGGCCUACGCGGCAGCAGCAGUCCAUGAGGAUGGAAUAGGUACAGAGCGUGGGCGACGCCACCCGUGCACCAGCGCCUCGGGACAUGCGGUUGAAGAGGGCGAUGGCAAGGCCGGGGCCAUCGCGGCAGGCAGCUGAGGGUGGAGCACGGGCGAGUGCGGCAAGAAAGUUGUUGAGCCCGCGUUCCGGGACGGCGGCGGCUUGGCCAAGCAAUUGGUCGAACAGGUGGUGCGCGUCCUCCUGGCUCAGCGUUCCCGCGCGGACACGCUCCGUGGCGGCAGCCAAGGCGGCGAGGGGGGCUCGUGAAGGAGCCCUGAAGGAGGAGGUGGAGAUGGAGGACAGGCGGGCGGCUGGCAUUUCUGGCCGAUUCCAGCCGAGCUCGACGCGGGAUGUGCGUGCGUCCGCUGAAGAGGCGCACCGCGAUCGAUUGGUGUCACCUGCGACGCUCGGCGCGCGCGCAGCAACCAGCGCCGCUGCCGAGGAAGUGAACGCAGGAGGCGGGACCGGUGGACUUGCCCGCCGGUGAGCGGCCUCGUACGCGGCUGACGAGUCUGGCGGCGGCGGGGGCGUGUGCUUGGGGUACAAUGGCACUUGAUGAUUUUCUGAUGAGUCUUUCCGAGUAAUGCUCACACCCAUCAGGUGAGCUGCACUCUUAUCAAUGCUAUUUCUUGAUCCCCAGGGCGCCCCGAAGAUCGGAUCAGAGGGAUGCAUCACAUUUUCUUCUCGGGUGAGUUGCAACCCGGCAAAUUUCUGCCACCAUGUAGCGACUAGCGCCCGUGCCGCAGGGGCGUCAAUUCCAUGCACUUGCAAAAAAAAAAAGUCCACGAAUUUAACAAAAAGUUGACGAUUUGAAAAAAGUUUGCAAAAUUGAAUUUUUUUCCAUCGAUUUGAAUUUUUUUAUGAAUUUGACGAAAAAGUUCAUGAAUUUGAUAAAAGUUUGCGAAAUUGAUAAACAUUCAUUCAUUUGGAAAAAAAUCAUGGAUUCAAAAAAUAGGUUCACGGAUUUGAAAAUAAGUCAUAAUUUUAAGGAAAUGAUCACGAAUUUAAGCAAAUGACAAUAAUAGAGAAAAGGAAGAAGAAAUAAAGAAAAUUAAAAAGGAAUAAAACUGGGGAAAAAAAGGCCAACCAAAAUCAAAGAAGAAGAAAACUGGACUCAGAAGAUGCACAACAAGAAGAAUAAAAGAAGUAACUAGGUACAAUGGUUGGAGGUAAACUAAUAGGUUGAAUCCUAUGUCAUGCACAUAUCAUUUGAAGGUUAAAAAAAGAAAAGAAAAAAUGUGCCAAGCGAGAACAUAGGUUUGGGUGCCCGGCGGACGGAUAGGCUAUGUACCUCUACACGUAGCUCGUAUGUAUGUGCGUAUGUGUCACAUACGGAGAUGGUCAAGUUCUCUUUGAAUUGCAUGAUUGAGGGAUGGAUCCGGACAAUCACAAGCCUACCCUUUUAAUAUAGAAAAGAGAGUAUAAUCUCGAUCCCUACAUGUUGUAGGAUCCUAUUGUGGGCCUCCUUUUCUGUGUUAUUUGCCGUCUAGUAAUGCACUAUUUCAGUAUAAUGUUGUUUGAUUCUUUUUUUAGGGAGAAACUUUUGAUCUAGUUGUAAUCAAUCAUGGUAGUACAAAGAACAACAAAGAUAAAUAAAUUUCGAGGCCAAUGGAUGAAAUUUGGUCUUCUAAAUCUAAAUAAACAUAUGCAUUUUAUUACUUUUAUUUGUUUACCGAGUGUCUUGUAAAAAAAAACUUGGCAAAGACCUAUUUUCCCGAGUGUUACAAAACACUUGGCAAAGUCCCUACAUUUGCCGAGUGAGUACUUGCAAAGUUUCUAUUGCCGAGUACCCUUGUUUUGCCAAGUGUUUUGUAUGAGAUACUCAGCAAAAGCCAUGUUUCUCAAGAACCUCGUGAAAAAUCACUCGGCAAAGAGCCCGACACUCUGCAUAUAACAUUUCCCCGUAGUGUAUAGAUUAAAUGAUUUCACAUGGGUGACAAUCUAUAGAAAGAAAUGAUACUUUUUAAAAUAAAAUAAAAUUAGUUAUGCUCAUUGAAUCUUGGCCAGAAUUAGUUGACUCGGCCGAUCAACUAGUCUCCUCCUGAUUGUAAAUAUGUGUUGGGACUUGGGAGUUUGGGACAAACGAUGAUGAUGAAAGCUUGAAGCUUCCCAAAUUCGAGUUCAUAUUGCCCUGCUCCAGAAAAAAACGUUCACAGUGCGCCCCAAACCAGUAUGUCCACUUCGGAUUCUUUUGGAAGAUCAUUGCUUCGAGUUGGUUCUUGUCCCGAUAGCACACACACAUGAUUUUGUUUUCUUUCUUCGAAUUAUAUGCUUCCGGUUUCAUUCAAAUGAAACCGUCCAGAGAACCUCAUGCCCGGCACAGAUUAUUACAGCAUCCUUAAACGUCUAGUAGAGGAAAAAAGACUGUAUUUUCUGGAAAGCGGCGAUUCGGUGCUCGAGCCCAGCUGAGCCCGAAAUCGCUGGCAUUCGUUCUUCGUUUGGGAUUCGAGUAAUCCGGUCUGACAACUUGACAGGAAGCGCUGGAAAAAAGGACGUACGCCUGUAUACUGUACUCCCUCCAUUCCAAAAUAUAGUGCGUCCGUGUUUUCCAAGGUCCAACUUUGACCAUAAAUUUAACCAACGAGACCAACUGCGACAGCAGAAAAAAUUAUAUAAUUGAAAACUUCUUUCGAAUACGAAUUCAUUGAUAUAAUUUUUACUCCCACCGUAAUCGGUUUUGGUAGUUAAACUUAUGGUCAAAGUUAAAGCACGAGGAUAGAGGAAACACUACAUUGUGGAAUGGAGGGAUUAUGGAAUAGUGCGUUCCGUCAGGCGCGGGGUCCUGGUCCGUGGACUAGAACGCCUCGUUUUAUGCUGAGCCGCUGAAUGUCGAACUAAAAAAAAAGGUUUCUAUAAACCACGUCGGCCGUCGCCAACACAGCCCACUCCCAUCCCCGCACCGCCCAAGGAGCCUCCCAAAAUCCGGUUUUCAGCUGCGGCGGCCGCUGCUUCCCGCCGGCGACGAACUAAUGGUGGAUGCUGGUCUUUGUUUUUGCUGGAUGCCAUGACAGGUAAGUGCAUCAUUCCUCGAUUUAGGUCUAGUGGUUGCAGAGAUUUGUUUCUAAACUGGGGGCUGACACCACGACCGGCGGUGCGUUAUAGGUUCCCACUCCGGGAGGAGUUCGCCGACAGCCUAGAACACCCAGAUCCGGUCCCUCUCGCUGUGCUGCGGACGGGAGAAGCCAGCGCUAUUGUGCUGGAGGAGUCAAACGCGGGAUCUAGAUAAGGGCAACAAGUUGGGUGUCGCCGGCCGGAGGAGUCGCAGGGUGGCAUGCGCCGGUGGCGUGAGGCAUGCUCGGUCUUCCCAGUCGUCCGACAGGUUCAACCCCAAGGCGCCCGAUUGGACAAAAAGGUAUGCGCUGGAUGCAUACCCAAUUUCUCUGCAUUUUGUUGUAGAUGGCUGGAUGUUAGACUGUUGUAGUAUGGUCUAUAUCUUCGUAUUGUAGUUUUCCUUCUCCCUAGAGAGAUUUAAAUCAAGUUCACUGCCCAUGGGAACUUGUUCCUGCAGAAGUGCAGAUAACUUGUUAGUUCUCCUAGUCCGGCAAUUACUUUGAACAGUCAUACUUUGCAGUUGAACCUAAUGAAAAGUAAUGGUUUGCUUGAAAAAUUCAGGUUGCGUCUCGGCAGUGCACCACCCGACAGGAUGCCGUGCCCCUCUAGGAUGAGUGCACAAGAGAAGUCGAUUCGCAAAUACUCGGAGGAGCCAACACAAAGUGUUAUUACACCAGAACUAGGAAUUAGUUUCGACUCACUUGGCGAUGGAUAUGAUUUCUACACCUUGUAUUCGUGCGAGAUCGGCUUGGGAGUUAGGUAUGGAAAGAACAGGCUGAAUGCCGAGAGGACCAAAUCAGCGCGGGAGAUCGUUUGCGGAUGUUGAUUGUGUACUAAGAAAAUGGACUUCAAAUUUGUUACCUGCAGAUCAGCUGAUUUGCAAGUUUCAUGCUAUACUGAGAAGCAACUAUAUGUAACAUGCAUGUAUAUCUGUUUGUUAGAUAGUUGUUGAUUGGAAAGAAUCCACUGGAAUAGAGCAUUUCCUUUUCGCGUCCUACAGUCUCUUUGAGAUAAUUGCAUCACCGAAGAUGUAUUUAGUGGUUUUCUCAUGUAAUGCGCUGCAGCAACAUAUCUCUGAUGCUCGCUGUCAGUGUACUGAAACCUUCAUCUGAGUUUGAGGUUAUCUAAGUGUAUAGAAACUGAAAGUUACAUGUUUAAUUUCCAUUAUAUGUGGGUUUCUUCAUAUUUCUGUUAACUGUAGAUGCUCUAGAGUCUGCAUAUGAAAUCAUGGAUAAUUUGUUGUUGUGCACUGUUAUGUCAGCAACUCCGCCUAUGUCUUCUAGGCAUAGCCGGUCCCAAGCCCGGGUAAAGGAGGAGGGUUGUGAUAGGCUUGGCGAGCCAACGUAAAAACUAGCCAGUCCCAUAGGUAUGAAACCGAUUUGAGCGAGAGUAGUACUAGGAUGGGUGACCUCCUGGGAAGUCCUUGUGAAAGAGUUUCAUAUCUAAGGGUUGUGAUAGGCUUGGCGAGCCAACGUAAAAACUAGCCAGUCUUUUGGGUAUGAAACCCAUUUGGGCGAGAGUAGUACUAGGAUGGGUGACCUCCUGGGAAGUCCUCGUGAAAGGGUUUCAUAUCUAGCCUACCCCAACUUGUUUGGGAUCAAAGGCUUCGUAAGAAUGAGAGAGGCACUGUUAUGUCAGCGGUACUUCCAUUUUUGACAUUUCAAAAUAUUUUGCAGGAGGAUGUGCUCCAUGCAAGAGGAAGGACAAACGGGGUAGUAGAAAUUCAUCUUAGGUAAUAGGCUUACCUGAGGUUUGCAUAUUUCUUCUCCUCUCUACUUGUUACGGAAUAGCAGACUGAAGUUAACUUCGUGCGUACUGAAAAAAAUGCUUAAUUGCUCUUUGAGGCAGGACAUUCAAUUGAACAUACAACUGUUCAUAAAUUUGGGGCUGACAUUUUACAUUGAUUAAUUUGCAGGGGAAGCAAGCAGAGAACAGUAGAUAGUGCCUGCCGUUCUGGAAUCAGCCUGGCACAGAAUAAUGCCUGAGCCGUUCUCCAGUUAGUUGUUCCGUCUCUCCCUUAUGCUGUGGCCGCAUUUAAUGCACCCACAGGCAGGCUUCAUUUUCCGUCCAUACAUCUGCUAUACAGAGUAAAAUACAGCACUGCUUCACGCAUCCCCAUGCAAGUGAAUGGUGGUGAUUUCAGGAUCAGCUGAGCCUGGGCUCAUAAACGAAUAUCCGGUAUUUUCUGCAAUGUCUCUUUCCUUUGGAAGAGAGAGGUCAGCAACUGCAAACUCAAUGACUGAAGCUUCAAAUAGUACUGAAUUCUUCUCAUCAAUUUUAGAAAGAUAGCCUCCGGCCCUGAUUACUUCACCUUUCUCCAAUAACACCCUGUCCACAUGUUUUUUUGCAACUGAGAGUUGAGAGCGCAGCUAGUCUUCUCCAUUGUUGAGAAGAUAUUGUCUACCCCUUCCAGGUCACAAGACUAAGAAAAUAAUCAACUCCUGCGAUCUCCACAACAGAAAGCCAAAAAAAGAAUGCAGUAUUUAUUUGGUUUCAGAGACAAGCAUUGUGUUUCAACCAAAGGAGCUACUUUUAAGCGUACUGGUAUUGACUGGCUGACUGAUCAUGACCAUACAGAAUAUGUGUAAUGCGUGCAUCCAUUGGAGGCAUCCAAAUUGCACAACUUUUUAUCUAAAGAAAUUCUUCAAGGUAAUCGCACAACACCCUAGAAUGUACCAUGACAAAUGUUUGAGAUGAGAAUUCCAAUGGCAGUAAAGCGCUGAUCCUUCACGCUCUGUUCAUGAUAAGUCCGUCAGUCAAUACAAUAAGAAUAAAGGUAAAUAUUGCUUAGCGGAGAGACCUAUGCACUGCAAUGUAUUUUUACAGUCAAUGUUUGUCAUCUUCGAAACAUGCUUAGCACAUAACAUCAGAUUACUAACUAAAGUGCACUAGCGGAGGCAACUAGAUUUUAGAUGAAAACAACCCACUUAACGCUUCACAGAAAAAAUUAGCACUACUGUUGAGAGAGGCAUAAUUGAAAGUAACCAGGAAAUUUAAAAAAUGCAAGCAUUUAAUCUAGAGCAACCUAGCUUUCAGUAACAUUAUGAAGAGAGAGAUCACAGCUUAGUUGGGGUUUUAAGAGUGAACAUAAUAGUAACUAUCAACAACAGAGGGCAAAAGCAGUGCAUCAACCAUCUCACAAUUAUUAAACAGACUAUUUUAUAUCUGGUUUGUGUUGCACUCCUUGGUCACGCCUUCUUGUUGCAUGAAUCCAUAAACGCCGAGAUGAGUUGUUCCCAGAGGCAACUAACCAAGUACUUUGCCACAAACUUGGAUGCUGAUAAAUAUGUAAUGUGUGACAGAUAUCCAAACAUUCCAGAUUAGAGUUACACUUUCUUCAUCACAAAAAGGGGGAAACUCAUAUGACCCUCAGGAGUCAGGC